rnacentral:rRNA from 1 species
GAUGAACGCUGGCGGCGUGCCUAAUACAUGCAAGUAGAACGCUGAAGGGGGAGCUUGCUCUUCUGGAUGAGUUGCGAACGGGUGAGUAACGCGUAGGUAACCUGCCUGGUAGCGGGGGAUAACUAUUGGAAACGAUAGCUAAUACCGCAUGACAACAGUUAUUGCAUGAUAACUGUUUAAAAGGGGCAACUGCUCCACUACCAGAUGGACCUGCGUUGUAUUAGCUAGUUGGUGAGGUAACGGCUCACCAAGGCGACGAUACAUAGCCGACCUGAGAGGGUGAUCGGCCACACUGGGACUGAGACACGGCCCAGACUCCUACGGGAGGCAGCAGUAGGGAAUCUUCGGCAAUGGACGGAGGUCUGACCGAGCAACGCCGCGUGAGUGAAGAAGGUUUUCGGAUCGUAAAGCUCUGUUGUAAGAGAAGAACGAGUGUGAGAGUGGAAAGUUCACACUGUGACGGUAGCUUACCAGAAAGGGACGGCUAACUACGUG